rnacentral:rRNA from 1 species
ACGCUAGCGAUAGGCUUAACACAUGCAAGUCGAGGGGCAGCGAGCGAGAUAGCAAUAUCUUGUGUCGGCGACCGGCGCACUGGUGAGUAACACGUAUGCAACCUGCCCUCUACAGGGGGAUAAUCCGGAGAAAUUCGGUCUAAUAUCCCAUAGUCCCUGAGUUUGCAUGAGCUUGGGGGGAAAGCUCCGGCGGUAGAGGAUGGGCAUGCGGCGCAUUAGCUGGUUGGCGGGGUAACGGCCCACCAAGGCGACGAUGCGUAGGGGUCCUGAGAGGAAGGUCCCCCACACUGGUACUGAGACACGGACCAGACUCCUACGGGAGGCAGCAGUGAGGAAUAUUGGUCAAUGGGCGCGAGCCUGAACCAGCCAAGCCGCGUGAGGGACGACGGUCCUACGGAUUGUAAACCUCUUUAGGCGGGGAGUAAUGUGCUCUACGAGUAGAGUAGUGAGAGUACCCGCAGAAUAAGCAUCGGCUAACUCCGUGCCAGCAGCCGCGGUAAUACGGAGGAUGCGAGCGUUAUCCGGAUUUAUUGGGUUUAAAGGGUGCGCAGGCUGUGCAUCAAGUCAGCGGUAAAAUCUCGGGGCUCAACCCCGUUUAGCCGUUGAAACUGGUGUGCUGGAGUGUGCGCGAGGAAGGCGGAAUGCGCGGUGUAGCGGUGAAAUGCAUAGAUAUUGCGCAGAACUCCGAUUGCGAAGGCAGCCUUCCAGUGCAUGACUGACGCUGAGGCACGAAAGCGUGGGUAUCGAACAGGAUUAGAUACCCUGGUAGUCCACGCAGUAAACGAUGAAUACUAUCUUUCCGUCGGCCUGAGCGGGGGGAGGACAAGCGAAAGCGUUAAGUAUUCCACCUGGGGAGUACGCCGGCAACGGUGAAACUCAAAGGAAUUGACGGGGGCCCGCACAA